rnacentral:rRNA from 1 species
GACGAACGCUGGCGGCGUGCCUAAUACAUGCAAGUAGAACGCAGUUGCGAACGGGUGAGUAACGCGUAGGUAACUGCCUCAUAGCGGGGGAUAACUAUUGGAAACGAUAGCUAAUACCGCAUACUGUGAGAUGGACCUGCGUUGUAUUAGCUAGUUGGUGAGGUAAAGGCUCACCAAGGCGACGAUACAUAGCCGAGCUGAGAGGGGGGUCGGGCACACUGGGACUUGAACACGGGCCAAGCUCCUACGGGAGGGAGCAGGAGGGUAUCUUCGGCAAUGGGCGGAAGGCUGACCGAAGAACGCCGCGUGAGUGAAGGAGGUUUUCGGAUCGGAAAGCUCUGUUGUUAGAGAAGCGGUAACUAACGAGAAAGCAACGGCUAACUACGUGCCAGCAGCCGCGGUAAUAC